CUGGCAACUUCCUCUGCUUCCAGCAAGUGCCUCAGAAAAUCUGCAUCUACCCACAAACAGAUCUAUGUUUAAUAUUCAGCAAUGGGGUGUUCAAACAGUACUCGAGGUCAAAUAUCUGUCCCUCAGCAGCCUGCUCAUGAAUGUGAAUCUGGAUCCUGACUUUUGUGUAUGGAAAUCAGUUGCAGAUGUCAAAUUAUAUUAAUUUCUCCUCUUUCCCCUCCUCUUUCCAGGAAUUUGAUUUGAUGAUCCUUGUGUGUCCCUUCCAGCUUGAGGUAUUCCAUGAUUCCAUGAUUUCAUGACCUAUUUUGCUUAACAAUUUAGGUGACUUGAAGUUCCACCAUUACUACCUGAGGUUUUCUGGAGCUCUGCUGAUUCCCUUUGAUUUGCCUGCUCCUCCAUAUGUGACAACAGCCUGUGAAACAGGUGAGAUUACAGCAAUCAUAGUGAGAGCUGGGAAAGGAAACAAACUCCACAAAAGCUUUAGUCAUAGAGAAAGAAUUAUUAUCUGAGGGCACGUUCAGCCACCACCCGUUCUGCUGGUAACUACCAUUCACAAAGGAGAGGCUGAAAGCAGAGAGUGAAAUGGUUUGUGAAUAACAUUUGCACUCUUCCCAAGCCCAUGCUCAGCUCCAGUGCUUAUGGGACAUGGAAGCAGAGAGCACAAUUUCUCAACAAUCUGUGCUCUGCAGCACUGCAGCAGCUAUUGUGACACCACGGAUGUAAAAACUCAACAAACUGGCUGGAAUACUGGAACUGGACUGAGAAAACCUCAGGACUUCAAAUGA
rnacentral:lncRNA from 1 species